rnacentral:rRNA from 1 species
UGGGGAAUAUUGGACAAUGGGCGAAAGCCUGAUCCAGCCAUGCCGCGUGUGUGAAGAAGGUCUUCGGAUUGUAAAGCACUUUAAGUUGGGAGGAAGGGCAUUAACCUAAUACGUUAGUGUUUUGACGUUACCGACAGAAUAAGCACCGGCUAACUCUGUGCCAGCAGCCGCGGUAAUACAGAGGGUGCAAGCGUUAAUCGGAAUUACUGGGCGUAAAGCGCGCGUAGGUGGUUUGUUAAGUUGGAUGUGAAAUCCCCGGGCUCAACCUGGGAACUGCAUUCAAAACUGACUGACUAGAGUAUGGUAGAGGGUGGUGGAAUUUCCUGUGUAGCGGUGAAAUGCGUAGAUAUAGGAAGGAACACCAGUGGCUAAGGCGACCUCCUGGACUAAUACUGACACUGAGGUGCGAAAGCGUGGGGAGCAAACA